rnacentral:rRNA from 1 species
AUUGAACGCUGGCGGCAUGCUUUACACAUGCAAGUCGGACGAGUGGCGAACGGGUGAGUAACAUAUCGGAACGUACCGAGUAAUGGGGGAUAACUAAUCGAAAGAUUAGCUAAUACCGCAUAUUAUUCGAGCGGCCGAUAUCUGAUUAGCGGGUGGGUGGGGUAAAGGCCUACCAAGGCGACGAUCAGUAGCGGGUCUGGGAGAAUGAUCCGCCACACUGGGACUGAGCCCCUGCCCAGCCUCCUACGGGAGGCAGCAUUGGGGAAUGUUGGACAAUGGGCGCAAGCCUGAUCCAGCCAUGCCGCGUGUAUGAAGAAGGCCCUAGGGUUGUAGAGUACUUUCAGUCGGGAGGCGUUACCGACAGAAGAAGCACCGGCUAACUCCGUGCCAGCAGCCGCGGUAAUAC